rnacentral:rRNA from 1 species
CUACGGGCCGCUGCAGUGGGGAAUAUUGCACAAUGGAGGAAACUCUGAUGCAGCAACGCCGCGUGGAGGAUGACACUUUUCGGAGCGUAAACUCCUUUUAUAUAGGAAGAAGAUGACGGUACUAUAUGAAUAAGCGCCGGCUAACUCCGUGCCAGCAGCCGCGGUAAUACGGAGGGCGCAAGCGUUACUCGGAAUCACUGGGCGUAAAGAGCGUGUAGGCGGAUUAAAAAGUCAGAAGUGAAAACCUAUAGCUUAACUAUAGAACUGCUUCUGAAACUCUUAAUCUAGAAUAUGGGAGAGGCAGAUGGAAUUUCUGGUGUAGGGGUAAAAUCCGUAGAGAUCAGAAGGAAUACCGAUUGCGAAGGCGAUCUACUAGAACAUUAUUGACGCUGAGACGCGAAAGCGUGGGGAGCAAACAGGAUUAGAUACCCCAGUAGUC